GCCACCAUAGCUCAGCUGGUAGAGCAACCGCCUUGUAAGCGGUAGGUCAUCGGUUCGACUCCGAUUGGUGGCU
rnacentral:tRNA from 1 species